GGACAGGUGGCCGAGUGGCUGAAGGCGCACGCUUGGAAAGCGUGUAGGCGUUUACGCGUCUCGAGGGUUCGAAUCCCUCUCUGUCCGCCA
rnacentral:tRNA from 1 species